UACGAAGGGGGCUAGCGUUGCUCGGAAUCACUGGGCGUAAAGGGUGCGUAGGCGGGUUUUUAAGUCAGGGGUGAAAUCCUGGAGCUCAACUCCAGAACUGCCUUUGAUACUGAAGAUCUCGAGUCCGGGAGAGGUGAGUGGAACUGCGAGUGUAGAGGUGAAAUUCGUAGAUAUUCGCAAGAACACCAGUGGCGAAGGCGGCUCACUGGCCCGGUACUGACGCUGAGGUACGAAAGCGUGGGGAGCAAACAGGG
rnacentral:rRNA from 1 species